CCUACGGGCGGCAGCAGUAGGGAAUAUUGCUCAAUGGGGGAAACCCUGAAGCAGCAACGCCGCGUGGAGGAUGAAGGUUUUCGGAUUGUAAACCUCUUUUGUUAGAGAAGAUAAUGACGGUAUCUAACGAAUAAGCACCGGCUAACUACGUGCCAGCAGCCGCGGUAAUACGGAGGGUGCAAGCGUUACUCGGAAUUACUGGGCGUAAAGGGAGCGUAGGCGGGUUAGUAAGUCAGAUGUGAAAUCCUAUGGCUUAACCUUAGAACUGCAUUUGAAACUGUUAUUCUAGAGUAUAGGAGAGGUAGGUGGAAUUCUUGGUGUAGGGGUAAAAUGCGUAGAGAUCAAGAAGAAUACUCAUUGCGAAGGCGACCUGCUAGAACGUAACUGACGCUGAUGCGCGAAAGCGUGGGGAGCAAACAGGAUUAGAUACCCCUGUAGUC
rnacentral:rRNA from 1 species